rnacentral:rRNA from 1 species
AGAAUCAACGCUGGCGGCGUGCCUAACACAUGCAAGUCGAACGAGAAAGUGGAGCAAUCCAUGAGUAAAGUGGCGCACGGGUGAGUAACACGUGACUAACCUACCCUUGAGUGGGGGAUAACCUAGGGAAACCUGGGCUAAUACCGCAUAAUACCUUCGGGUCAAAGGAGCAAUUCGCUUAAGGAGGGGGUCGCGGCCGAUUAGUUAGUUGGCGGGGUAAUGGCCCGACCAAGACUGUGAUCGGUAUCCGGCCUGAGAGGGCGCACGGACACACUGGAACUGAAAACACGGUCCAGACUCCUACGGGAGGCAGCAGUGGGGAAUUUUGCGCAAUGGGGAACCCUGACGCAGCAACGCCGCGUGGAGGAUGAAGCCCCUUGGGGCGUAAACUCCUUUCGAUCGGGACGAUAAUGACGGUACCGGAAGAAGAAGCCCCGGCUAACUUCGUGCCAGCAGCCGC